GAUGAAGAACGCAGCGAAAUGCGAUAGGUAAUGUGAAUUGCAGAUUUCAGUGAAUCAUCGAAUCUUUGAACGCACAUUGCGCCCUUUGGUAUUCCUUAGGGCAUGCCUGUUCGAGCGUCACUACACACCUUAUCACAAUAUUUGUGGUCUUGGCAGGAGUGAAUUGCUGGUCUAUGGAAGUAUUCCAGCAGUACACAAUGCUAAAAAAUAUGGGAAGGUUACCAGAUAUGAACAACAGACUUUGUAAAUGGUUGUAGGACCUAGAUCAGUCACAAGUCAUGUCUGGUCCCUUACCUUAAGGACCCCCAUCCUAGAUGAACUAUGGGUUGACCUCGGAUCAGGUAGGAAUACCCGCUGAACUUAAGCAUAUCAAUAAGCGGAGGA
rnacentral:misc_RNA from 1 species